GUUGACCUCGGAUCAGGUAGGACUACCCGCUGAACUUAAGCAUAUCAAUAAGCGGAGGAAAAGAAACCAA
rnacentral:rRNA from 1 species